rnacentral:rRNA from 1 species
CCCAGCAAUGGGAUGCGAAUCUCGAAAGCCUGUCUCAGUUCGGAUUGGAGGCUGAAACCCGCCUCCAUGAAGUUGGAUUCGCUAGUAAUCGCGCAUCAGCCAUGGCGCGGUGAAUACGUUCCCGGGCCUUGUACACACCGCCCGUCAAGCCAUGGGAGCCGGGGGUGCCUGAAGUUCGUGACCGCAAGGAGCGACCUAGGGCAAAACUGGUGACUGGGGCUAAGUCGUAACAAGGUAGC